rnacentral:rRNA from 1 species
AACGGCGAGUGAAGCGGGAAGAGCUCAAAUUUGAAAUCUUCAAGGUUCUACCUUGACGAAUUGUAGUUUAAAGAAGUGUUUUCUGUUGGAGUUUUGGUAAAAGUUCUUUGGAAUAGGACAUCAUAGAGGGUGAGAAUCCCGUAUUUGACCAUUAUUUCCAGCUUUGUGAUACACUUUCAAAGAGUCGGAUUGUUUGGGAAUGCAGUCCAAAAUGGGUGGUAAAUUUCAUCUAAAGCUAAAUAUUGGCGAGAGACCGAUAGCGAACAAGUACCGUGAGGGAAAGAUGAAAAGAACUUUGAAAAGAGAGUUAAACAGUACGUGAAAUUGUCAAAAGGGAAGCGUUUGACACCAGUGUUGUUUUCUCGAAAAUCAAUUAAAAAAGGCUGGAUUUUGUGUUGUAUUGACUUUAUCAGCUUUCUGCACUCUUUUCCUGUCUUUUUUAAUGCACUUUUCGUUUAACAAGUCAACAUCAAUUUCUUUUGUUGUAAAAGGGUCAUUGGAAGGUGGCUUUCUUUUCGGAGAAAGUGUUUAUAGCCUUUGGCCUCUGCAAUCGGAGAGAUUGAGGUCUGCAGCGUAGAUCCUUCGGGGUUAGAUACAUUUGUGCUAAGUUAUAGCCUUUCAUAGACAACUUGUUGACUAUGAUCAGUCAUGUAGCUUACUCGCUUAUGCUAUUUACCUAC